rnacentral:rRNA from 1 species
GGCAACCUGCCCUUUAGACGGGGACAACAUUCCGAACGGAGUGCUAAUACCGGAUGUGAUCAUCGUGCCGCAUGGCAGGAUGAAGAAAGAUGGCCUCUACAAGUAAGCUAUCGCUAAAGGAUGGGCCUGCGUCUGAUUAGCUAGUUGGUAGUGUAACGGACUACCAAGGCGAUGAUCAGUAGCCGGUCUGAGAGGAUGAACGGCCACAUUGGGACUGAGACACGGCCCAAACUCCUACGGGAGGCAGCAGUGGGGAAUCUUCCGCAAUGGACGAAAGUCUGACGGAGCAACGCCGCGUGAGUGAUGAAGGAUUUCGGUCUGUAAAACUCUGUUGUUUAUGACGAACGUGCAGUGUGUGAACAAUGCAUUGCAAUGACGGUAGUAAACGAGGAAGCCACGGCUAACUACGUGCCAGCAGCCGCGGUAAUACGUAGGUGGCGAGCGUUGUCCGGAAUUAUUGGGCGUAAAGAGCAUGUAGGCGGCUUAAUAAGUCGAGCGUGAAAAUGCGGGGCUCAACCCCGUAUGGCGCUGGAAACUGUUAGGCUUGAGUGCAGGAGAGGAAAGGGGAAUUCCCAGUGUAGCGGUGAAAUGCGUAGAUAUUGGGAGGAACACCAGUGGCGAAGGCGCCUUUCUGGACUGUGUCUGACGCUGAGAUGCGAAAGCCAGGGUAGCGAACG